UACGUAGGGUGCAAGCGUUGUCCGGAAUUAUUGGGCGUAAAGAGCUCGUAGGCGGUCUGUCGCGUCGGAUGUGAAAAUCCAGGGCUCAACCCUGGACCUGCAUUCGAUACGGGCAGACUAGAGUUCGGCAGGGGAGACUGGAAUUCCUGGUGUAGCGGUGAAAUGCGCAGAUAUCAGGAGGAACACCGGUGGCGAAGGCGGGUCUCUGGGCCGGUACUGACGCUGAGGUGCGAAAGCCGUGGGGAGCAAACAGG
rnacentral:rRNA from 1 species